UAGAUAUUAGAAAGAAUACCAAUUGCGAAGGCAGCUUUCUGGAUCAUUACUGACACUGAGGAACGAAAGCAUGGGUAGCGAAGAGGAUUAGAUACCCUCGUAGUCCAUGCCGUAAACGAUGUGUGUUAGACGUUGGAAAUUUAUUUUCAGUGUCGCAGCGAAAGCAUUAAACACACCGCCUGGGGAGUACGACCGCAAGGUUAAAACUCAAAUGAAUUGACGGGGACCCGCACAAGUAGUGGAGCAUGUGGUUUAAUUCGAAGAUACGCGCAGAACCUUACCAACACUUGACAUGUUCGUCGCGACUUUAAGAGAUUAAAGUUUUCGGUUCGGCCGGACGAAACACAGGUGCUGCAUGGCUGUCGUCAGCUCGUGUCGUGAGAUGUUGGGUUAAGUCCCGCAACGAGCGCAACCCUCACUUUUAGUUGCCAUCAUUUAGUUGGGCACUCUGAAAGAACUGCCAGUGAUAAGCUGGAGGAAGGUGGGGAUGACGUCAAGUCCUCAUGGCCCUUACGUGUUGGGCUACACACGUGCUACAAUGGCAUUUACAAUAGGAAGCAAGAUGGCGACGUCAAGCAAAUCCUAAAAAAAUGCCUCAGUUCGGAUUGUACUCUGCAACUCGAGUACAUGAAGCUGGAAUUACUAGUAAUCGCGGAUCAGCGCGCCGCGGUGAAUACGUUCCCGGGUCUUGUACACACCGCCCGUCACACCAUGGGAGUUGGUUCUACCUUAAGGCAAGGUUUAAAACCCUUGACCACGGUAUAGUCAGCGACUGGGGUGAAGUCGUAACAAGGUAGCCGUAGGGGAACCUGCGGCUG
rnacentral:rRNA from 1 species